UACGGAGGGGGCUAGCGUUGUUCGGAAUUACUGGGCGUAAAGCGCACGUAGGCGGCUUUGUAAGUCAGGGGUGAAAGCCUGGAGCUCAACUCCAGAACUGCCUUUGAGACUGCAUCGCUUGAAUCCGGGAGAGGUGAGUGGAAUUCCGAGUGUAGAGGUGAAAUUCGUAGAUAUUCGGAAGAACACCAGUGGCGAAGGCGGCUCACUGGACCGGCAUUGACGCUGAGGUGCGAAAGCGUGGGGAUCAAACAGG
rnacentral:rRNA from 1 species